rnacentral:rRNA from 1 species
UACGAAGGGGGCUAGCGUUGCUCGGAAUUACUGGGCGUAAAGCGCACGUAGGCGGAUUUGUUAGUCAGGGGUGAAAUCCCGGGGCUCAACCUCGGAACUGCCUUUGAUACUGCAAGUCUCGAGUCCGAUAGAGGUGGGUGGAAUUCCUAGUGUAGAGGUGAAAUUCGUAGAUAUUAGGAAGAACACCGGUGGCGAAGGCGGCGUUCUGGACUGUUUCUGACACUGAAUAACGAAAGCCAGGGGAGCAAACGGG